rnacentral:rRNA from 1 species
UACGGGGGGGGCAAGCGUUAAUCGGAAUUACUGGGCGUAAAGCGUGCGCAGGCGGCUUUGCAAGACAGAUGUGAAAUCCCCGGGCUUAACCUGGGAACUGCAUUUGUGACUGCAUGGCUGGAGUGCGGCAGAGGGGGAUGGAAUUCCGCGUGUAGCAGUGAAAUGCGUAGAUAUGCGGAGGAACACCGAUGGCGAAGGCAAUCCCCUGGGCCUGCACUGACGCUCAUGCACGAAAGCGUGGGGAGCAAACAGG